rnacentral:rRNA from 1 species
UACGGGGGGGGCAAGCGUUGUUCGGAAUUACUGGGCGUAAAGGGCUCGUAGGCGGCCAACUAAGUCAGACGUGAAAUCCCUCGGCUUAACCGGGGAACUGCGUCUGAUACUGGAUGGCUUGAGGUUGGGAGAGGGAUGCGGAAUUCCGGGUGUAGCGGUGGAAUGCGUAGAGAUCCGGAAGAACACCGGUGGCGAAGGCGGUCUGCUGGGCAGUUGCUGACACUGAGGCGCGACAGCGUGGGGAGCAAACAGG